CGAAGAUCGAGAAUAGGAGUAUAUCGAACUCCUAGUACUGCCCGAGGUAGCUUGUAAAUAGCAGAUAUCGUCGAGGAUUAUAGUCGGCUUUACUACUCCAAAAACUAUAAGUUUACUGCCUUUGUGCACUUUUGUUCCUUGUGGGCCCAUGAAUCACUGUAAAGAAGUGUACAAGUGGAGAAGGUUAGCUGUGGUGGCAUACUGGAGGUGGUAACGGGUGACUGGCAAGUAACAUUAUCUAGAGACCCACCUAAACUGAUAGCGACAUAGUGUCCCGUUAUUGUGAGGUUCCAACGAGGCCUCAGAUGUCCGUUUGAAGCAAUAAUCAACGUUAGAGUUAAUUAAAGAUUCAACAAAUAUCAAUUUGGAGGUAGUUGGCACCUAGAUUGAGUUGUCCACGUAUGCUCGCCUUCUUGUAAGGUACUAUGGAAUCUCAGUAGCUGUACCUUCACCCACAGUCACUCAGCUAAUGGUUAAGGGUAUGUUACCUGUGAACACGCAUAUGUAAUGAAAUCCGUUAGUAUCCAUGUUAUAAGUCAAAUAUGUAUAUUUGAUUACUGAUGCCACUAGGAGUUGGCAGAUGGGUGACA